GCCGACGUGGCGAAAUUGGUAGACGCACUAGGUUUAGGACCUAGCGGAGCAAUCCAUGUGGGUUCGAAUCCCACCGUCGGCA
rnacentral:tRNA from 1 species